GGCGUGCCUAAGAAAUGCAAGUCGAGCGGUCCCCCAGCAAUGGGGGACAGCGGCGAACGGUCGCGUAACACGUAAGCAACCUGCCCCGAAGACCGGGACAACAUCUCGAAAGGGGUGCUAAUACCGGAUGUGAUCGUUUCUGGGCAUCCAGAGACGCGGAAAGCCUGUACAGGGGCAAGCCUGUGCCAGGGCUUCGGGAGGGGCUUGCGGCCUAUCAGCUAGUUGGUGGGGUAACGGCCUACCAAGGCGACGACGGGUAGCUGGUCUGAGAGGACGUCCAGCCGGACUGGGACUGAGAGACGGCCCAGACUCCUACGGGGGGCAGCAAUUAGGAAUCUUGCGCAAUGGGCGAAAGCCUGACGCAGCGACGCCGCGUGGAGGAGGAAGUCCUUCGGGAUGUAAACUCCUUUUGAGUGGGAAGAAACAAAUGACGGUACCACUUGAAUAAGCCCCGGCUAACUACGUGCCAGCAGCCGCGGUAAUACGUAGGGGGCGAGCGUUGUCCGAAGUUACUGGGCGUAAAGCGCGCGUAGGCGGGUCGUUAAGUGAGAGGUGAAAGGGUGGGGCUCAACCCCAGCAGUGCCUCUCAUACUGGCGGUCUUGAGGGCGGUAGAGAGAAGUGGAAUGGCUGGUGUAGCGGUGAAAUGCGUAGAUAUCAGUCGGAACACCGGUGGCGAAGGCGGCUUCUUGGGCCGUACCUGACGCUGAGGCGCGAAAGCCAGGGGAGCGAACGGGAUUAGAUACCCCGGUAGUCCUGGCCGUAAACGAUGGAUACUAGGUGUCGGGGGUAUCGACCCCUCCGGUGCCGCAGCUAACGCAAUAAGUAUCCCGCCUGGGGAGUACGGCCGCAAGGUUGAAACUC
rnacentral:rRNA from 1 species